UACGGAGGGUGCAAGCGUUAUCCGGAUUCACUGGGUUUAAAGGGUGCGUAGGUGGGUCUGUAAGUCAGUGGUGAAAUCUCCGAGCUUAACUCGGAAACUGCCAUUGAUACUAUAGGUCUUGAAUUAUCUGGAGGUGAGCGGAAUAUGUCAUGUAGCGGUGAAAUGCUUAGAUAUGACAUAGAACACCAAUUGCGAAGGCAGCUCACUACACAAUCAUUGACGCUGAGGCACGAAAGCGUGGGGAUCAAACAGG
rnacentral:rRNA from 1 species